rnacentral:misc_RNA from 1 species
GCAAUCCAUUACUCUCCCCUGUUGUCCCUGAGAACAGGCAUUCUCUCCUACUAACAGAAUUGAUGACUCGAUUCAGAUUCAAGUCCUGAAAUGCCAUUUGACAAGGUGCAGAAACGAACAAUAGUAAUAAAAUUUUAUACAACAGCAUUGUACCUCCGUUAAUAUCCAUCAGCCUCAAGACCAUUUUUUUAGUUGAGUUGAGUAUCGAAUUGAAACGGAGAAAGAGGAGGGGCAGUUGUAUCCACUUUUUGAUUCACAGUUCAUUUUCAAUUUUUUUUUUAGUAGAAUUAGCCUUAGCAGAGGCUAGUGAAAAUUGCACCAUUGUUGAAACAUUGAAUCCGAUUGGACAUAAUUACCUACUAAAGUUGGCAACCAAUUGUCCUAGGGAGUUAUUGACCAUUACCACGAUUCCAACUAUAGAUGGGUUCAAAUGUAAUAAACAGUGAGGCUACUAAACAUGAGUAACAAGAAUGAUGUGGAAGGGUAAAGGUCACUGCAUAGACAGCAAGGAACAGCACUCCAAAAGCAAAAUGGAAAUUGUACAUAAAUUAAUAUACGUGUUUUUAACUAUGCUGAGAAUAGUUAUGCCCGUUUAUGUAUACCAGAUGAUAAUUACAAGCUAAUACCAGUAAUACUUCGUGGUCACUAGUAUUUUACAGGAUUCUUAAAAAAUAUAUAAAUAAAUAAAUAAAA